UACGUAGGGCGCAAGCGUUGUCCGGAAUUAUUGGGCGUAAAGAGCUCGUAGGCGGCCUGUUGCGUCCGCUGUGAAAUCCCGGGGCUCAACCCCGGGCCUGCAGUGGAUACGGGCUGGCUAGAGGCAGGCAGGGGAGAACGGAAUUCCUGGUGUAGCGGUGAAAUGCGCAGAUAUCAGGAGGAACACCGGUGGCGAAGGCGGGUCUCUGGGCCGAUAUUGACGCUGAGGAGCGAAAGCGUGGGGAGCGAACAGG
rnacentral:rRNA from 1 species